GGCGAGCGAACGGGGAGCAGCCCAGAGCCUGAAUCAGUGUGUGUGUUAGUGGAAGCGUCUGGAAAGGCGCGCGAUACAGGGUGACAGCCCCGUACACAAAAAUGCACAUGCUGUGAGCUCGAUGAGUAGGGCGGGACACGUGGUAUCCUGUCUGAAUAUGGGGGGACCAUCCUCCAAGGCUAAAUACUCCUGACUGACCGAUAGUGAACCAGUACCGUGAGGGAAAGGCGAAAAGAACCCCGGCGAGGGGAGUGAAAAAGAACCUGAAACCGUGUACGUACAAGCAGUGGGAGCACGCUUAGGCGUGUGACUGCGUACCUUUUGUAUAAUGGGUCAGCGACUUAUAUUCUGUAGCAAGGUUAACCGAAUAGGGGAGCCGAAGGGAAACCGAGUCUUAACUGGGCGUUAAGUUGCAGGGUAUAGACCCGAAACCCGGUGAUCUAGCCAUGGGCAGGUUGAAGGUUGGGUAACACUAACUGGAGGACCGAACCGACUAAUGUUGAAAAAUUAGCGGAUGACUUGUGGCUGGGGGUGAAAGGCCAAUCAAACCGGGAGAUAGCUGGUUCUCCCCGAAAGCUAUUUAGGUAGCGCCUCGUGAAUUCAUCUCCGGGGGUAGAGCACUGUUUCGGCAAGGGGGUCAUCCCGACUUACCAACCCGAUGCAAACUGCGAAUACCGGAGAAUGUUAUCACGGGAGACACACGGCGGGUGCUAACGUCCGUCGUGAAGAGGGAAACAACCCAGACCGCCAGCUAAGGUCCCAAAGUCAUGGUUAAGUGGGAAACGAUGUGGGAAGGCCCAGACAGCCAGGAUGUUGGCUUAGAAGCAGCCAUCAUUUAAAGAAAGCGUAAUAGCUCACUGGUCGAGUCGGCCUGCGCGGAAGAUGUAACGGGGCUAAACCAUG
rnacentral:rRNA from 1 species